rnacentral:rRNA from 1 species
GACGAACGCUGGCGGCGUGCUUAACACAUGCAAGUCGAACGGAAAGGCCCUUCGGGGUACUCGAGUGGCGAACGGGUGAGUAACACGUGGGUGAUCUGCCCUGCACUUUGGGAUAAGCCUGGGAAACUGGGUCUAAUACCGAAUACACCCUGCUGGUCGCAUGGCCUGGUGGGGGAAAGCUUUUGCGGUGUGGGAUGGGCCCGCGGCCUAUCAGCUUGUUGGUGAGGUUACGGCUCACCAAGGCGACGACGGGUAGCCGGCCUGAGAGGGUGACCGGCCACACUGGGACUGAGAUACGGCCCAGACUCCUACGGGAGGCAGCAGUGGGGAAUAUUGCACAAUGGGCGCAAGCCUGAUGCAGCGACGCCGCGUGAGGGAUGACGGCCUUCGGGUUGUAAACCUCUUUCGCCAGGGACGAAGCGCAAGUGACGGUACCUGGAGAAGAAGGACCGGCCAACUACGUGCCAGCAGCCGCGGUAAUACGUAGGGUCCGAGCGUUGUCCGGAAUUACUGGGCGUAAAGAGCUCGUAGGUGGUUUGUCGCGUUGUUCGUGAAAACUCACAGCUUAACUGUGGGCGUGCGGGCGAUACGGGCAGACUAGAGUACUGCAGGGGAGACUGGAAUUCCUGGUGUAGCGGUGGAAUGCGCAGAUAUCAGGAGGAACACCGGUGGCGAAGGCGGGUCUCUGGGCAGUAACUGACGCUGAGGAGCGAAAGCGUGGGGAGCGAACAGGAUUAGAUACCCUGGUAGUCCACGCCGUAAACGGUGGGUACUAGGUGUGGGUUUCCUUCCUUGGGAUCCGUGCCGUAGCUAACGCAUUAAGUACCCCGCCUGGGGAGUACGGCCGCAAGGCUAAAACUCAAAGAAAUUGACGGGGGCCCGCACAAGCGGCGGAGCAUGUGGAUUAAUUCGAUGCAACGCGAAGAACCUUACCUGGGUUUGACAUGCACAGGACGUGCCUAGAGAUAGGUAUUCCCUUGUGGCCUGUGUGCAGGUGGUGCAUGGCUGUCGUCAGCUCGUGUCGUGAGAUGUUGGGUUAAGUCCCGCAACGAGCGCAACCCUUAUCUUAUGUUGCCAGCGCGUAAUGGCGGGGACUCGUGAGAGACUGCCGGGGUCAACUCGGAGGAAGGUGGGGAUGACGUCAAGUCAUCAUGCCCCUUAUGUCCAGGGCUUCACACAUGCAACAAUGGCCGGUACAAAGGGCUGCGAUGCCGUGAGGUGGAGCGAAUCCUUGUUAAAGCCGGUCUCAGUUCGGAUCGGGGUCUGCAACUCGACCCCGUGAAGUCGGAGUCGCUAGUAAUCGCAGAUCAGCAACGCUGCGGUGAGUACGUUCCCGGGCCU